AUGAUGGGGUACCAGAAGGGCGUCGACAUCGAGGCGGGGACCUCCGGCGGCGGCACCGGCACCACCGCGCCGACCCGGGGGCUGUACCCCGGGAUGACGGAGAGCCCGGAGCUGCGCUGGGCUCUCAUCCGGAAGAUCUACGUCAUCCUCUCCCUGCAGCUCCUCCUCACCGCCGUCGUCGCCGCCGUCGUCGUCAAGGUCCGCGCCAUCCCGCACUUCUUCGUCUCCUCCAGCGCCGGCCUCGGGCUCUACAUCUUCCUCAUCAUCUUCCCCUUCAUCGUGCUGUGCCCGUUGUACUUCUACCGCCAGAAGCACCCGGUCAACCUGCUGCUGCUUGGCGUCUUCACAGUGGCCAUCAGCUUCGCUGUGGGCAUGACAUGUGCCUUUACUAGCGGCAAGGUCAUUCUGGAGGCCGCGAUUCUUACAACAGUGGUUGUCUUCAGCCUCACUGCUUACACCUUCUGGGCCGCAAAGAGGGGCCAGGACUUCAGCUUCCUUGGUCCUUUCCUAUUUGCUUCUCUCAUCAUGUUGCUCGUCUUUGGGUUCAUUCAGAUCCUCUUCCCGAUGGGCAAGCUCUCUCACAUGAUCUAUGGCGCAUUGGCGGCACUCAUCUUCAGUGGCUACAUUGUCUAUGACACGGACAACAUCAUCAAGCGUUACACCUACGACGAGUAUGUCUGGGCCGCCGUCUCGCUCUACCUUGACGUCAUCAAUCUGUUCCUGGCCCUGCUGACCCUGUUUAGGGCGGGUGACAGCUAA
rnacentral:rRNA from 1 species